AGUCUAGUGAAAAUUAAUAUUAGAUGUAUUCUGCCCAAUGUUUUUAUAUAAAUGGCCGCAGUACCUUGACUGUGCUAAGGUAGCAUAGUAAAUUGGCUUUUAAAUGGAGUCUGGAAUGAAAGGAGUUAUGGGGGGAGACUGUCUUAAAUAGUUUAAUUUUAAUUUAAUUAUAAAGUGAAAAUACUUUAAAAUAUGAAAAAAGACGAGAAGACCCUUAGAAUUUUUAAGAUUAUUUUUAUUGAAUUACUCUUUUUUGUUGGGGUGACAAGUAAGCAAUAAAUAAUAACCUAACUUCUUACUACAUACCGAAUUUUUAUUUUUGGUUAAAUUACCUUAGGGAUAACAGCAUAAUUUUUUAAAAAGAUUGUGACCUCGAUGUUGGACUAGGAACUUUAUAAUUAGAUAUUAAAAAAGAGAGUUCUGUUCGAACUUUAUAUCCU
rnacentral:rRNA from 1 species